rnacentral:rRNA from 1 species
UACAGAGGAGCCAAGCGUUGUCCGGAUUGACUGGGCGUAAAGCGCACGCAGGCGGAUGCGCGCGUGGGGUGUGAAAUCUGGCCGCUUAACGGCCAGGCGCCAUCCCAUACGGCGCGUCUGGAGUGAUGCAGAGGUCGAUGGAAUUGCCGGUGUAGUGGUGAAAUGCGUAGAGAUCGGCAGGAACACCCAGGGGGAAACCAGCCGACUGGGCAUCUACUGACGCUGAGGUGCGAGAACGUGGGGAGCGAACCGG